AGUGAACGCUGGCGGUAGGCCUAACACAUGCAAGUCGAACGGCAGCACAGUAAGAGCUUGCUCUUACGGGUGGCGAGUGGCGGACGGGUGAGGAAUACAUCGGAAUCUACUUUUUCGUGGGGGAUAACGUAGGGAAACUUACGCUAAUACCGCAUACGACCUACGGGUGAAAGCAGGGGAUCUUCGGACCUUGCGCGAUUGAAUGAGCCGAUGUCGGGUUAGCUAGGUGGCGGGGUAGAGGCCCACCAAGGCGACGAUCCGAAGCUGGUCUGAGAGGAUGAUCAGCCACACUGGAACAGAGACACGGUCCAGACUCCUACGGGAGGCAGCAGUGGGGAAUAUUGGACAAUGGGCGCGAGCCUGAUCCAGCCAUACCGCGUGGGUGAAGAAGGCCUUCUGGUUGUAAAGCCCUUUUGUUGGGAAAGAAAAGCAGCAGGUUAAUACCCCGCUGUUCUGACGGUACCCAAAGAAUAAGCACCGGCUAACUUCGUG
rnacentral:rRNA from 1 species